AGCUGUUUUGGUCCUAGACCCACUGUUCUCUUCAACUGGAAUUACACAUGCAAGUCUCCACACACCAGUGCACUCGCCCCCAAAAUCUUGUCCUGCAAGACCGGAGAUGAUAUCAGGCACGCUUCUUGCAGCCCACAACGUCGCGCUCCACCACACCCACACGGAAUUCAGCAGUGAUAAACAUUAAGCCAUGAGUCCCACGCUCGACUUAGUCACAGUUCACCAAAAAUUUUAAGCCGGUAAAUUUCGUGCCAGCCACCGCGGUUAUACGAUAAGGCUAGAGACAACAGCCCCGGCGUAAAAUGUGCCUAGAAGCCAGACCAUCCAACAGCACCAAGAUCCGAACUUGGAGUCAGUUGUAAAAUACGCACCUCCAAAAGAAUUUACCCCCUUUCUUCUGUUUUCGGCCCGCUUUGACGCCACGACAUCCGAGAUUCAAACUAGGAUUAGAUACCCUACUAUGCUUGGACGUAAACUUGGCUGUUCCCCCACCCGCAGCCCGCCAGAGAAUUACAAGUGAAAAACUUGAAACUCCAAGGACUUGACGGUGUCCUACUCACACUAGAGGAGCCUGUCCUAUAAUCGAUACUCCACGUUAUACCUUACCCCCCCUCGCCAAUCAACCUAUAUACCGCCGUCAUCAGCCUACACUGUGAAACCACCACCGUAAGCAAAACCACCAACACAUAAACACGACAGGUCAAGGUGUAGUUCAUGGGGGGGACAGCGAUGAGCUACAUUUUCUAUAGUAGAAAAUCACCGCCAGCACCGUGAAACCCUUGCUUAAAGGCGGAUUUAGAAGUAAACUUGGCAAGACUAUGCCAACUUGAAUACGCCCUAGGACGCGUACACACCGCCCGUCACCCUCCUCGCCAAAUAAACAACCCCUAAAUAAACAAUCAUACUAAGCCACAAGAUGAGGUAAGUCGUAACACGGUAAGCGUACUGGAAAGUGCGCUUAGACA
rnacentral:ncRNA from 1 species